rnacentral:lncRNA from 1 species
GGGUGGGAUGACAAAGCCUCGGGAGCCAGGGAGUUGCUGUGAAGACUUCCACUGGAGAGCUCGUUAAUGAGAAGCAGCUAAGUGCAGAGUCAAAUGCCUGUGCCAUGCCGCUGCCCGUCUUCGGAGCAGAGCUGAGCUGCGUCGGCUGCUCUGCCCGUGAUCUCCCCUGUCCCUGCCUGUCCCCAGACAUUCCGUCUUUGGGCACCCGAAAAGCCAGAGUUGCAACCAAGUGCAUCUGUCAGAUACUGGGUCUCGCUCGACCUCCAGAACCUAUGACUGGCACCACUGUCUUCUGCGGUCUGUGUGGAGGGACUCGGCACUGGCUUUGGGGGCAGUGUCAAUGAGGGAUCAAGCUCGGUGAAACAAAAAUCCAGAAGCGUGGUUCAUUAAAAUCCGCC